UGCCAGUGAUAAACUGGAGGAAGGUGGGGAUGACGUCAAGUCAUCAUGGCCCUUACGACCAGGGCUACACACGUGCUACAAUGGCGCAUACAAAGAGAAGCGACCUCGCGAGAGCAAGCGGACCUCAUAAAGUGCGUCGUAGUCCGGAUUGGAGUCUGCAACUCGACUCCAUGAAGUCGGAAUCGCUAGUAAUCGUGGAUCAGAAUGCCACGGUGAAUACGUUCCCGGGCCUUGUACACACCGCCCGUCACACCAUGGGAG
rnacentral:rRNA from 1 species